CAUAUUUGUAGCUAAUAAUAUUAUUUCAUUUUAAUUAUGCAGGAAAUACCAUACUCAUUUAUUACAAUUUGAUGGUGAAGGAGGUUGGCGCUUUGAACAAUUGGAUACUGCUAUCCGUUUAACAUUGAGUGAAGAAAAACAAAAGCUAGAAUCUCAGCUAGCCGGAAUUCCCAAAAUGCAGCAGAGACUCAAUGAACUAUGUAAAAUUUUGGGAGAAGACUCAGUGCUGAAAACAAUCAAAAAUGAAGAUGAAAUAUCCUAAUUUAUUUUGACAUGUUUUUAGUUAAUUUUUUGGUAAAGGCUCAAGAGACACUCUAUUAUAGUGCAUGCACUGUGUUAAGCUAAGCACAGAAAAAACAAAGCCAGCAAGAAAUGUUUUAUAUUAUUUUAGCAUCAAGGAAGUAUAUAAUCUAACUUUUCAGAGGAAAAUAAACAAAUGUAUCAUGUAAGAUUAGUCAUUAUGACUUAUACUAAUUCCUAGUGGAAGCCUAAUUCACCUGCAAAACAAGAUUUUCUAGGUGAAUUCUUGAUGAAUAGAAUAAUACCAGGUUUUUCUGUAUGUCAUAUGUCUGAAGUUCUUAACAUGGAAAUAUCUUGGAAAUGAAGCAAUUUAAGAGCACCAUUUGGGUUGAUACCGGGGACAUAAAAAUAGAGCAUUGAGAACCAUUUAAGUCCAUUCAUCAAUGAUAUACUAGGUUUAUUAGCUAGAAUUAAUUUACAUCAUUGCUAGAGGCCAACUAAACCUAUAUAAAAAUAGCUGACAGUUUAAUAAUUUCAGUAUGAAAAAAAUUAUUUUAAUGGCAGUGGUUGAAAGAAAAAGGCAUGGCUAAAUAAGUAUAAAAUACCACAAUUCAAAAAUUUUAGGCUUUGAGCAUCUCAAUGCAAACAUAAAAAAUCUAAUCAGAAUCUUGCAUAUUUAAAAGAGAAUUGCCAAGACAAAAAAGGCAUAUCCAAAUGUUUGCCUCAUUCUGUUACUUUACUUGGCAGAAUAAUCUAUUACAAUUCUGUCCAGAAAUACUGUUUUUGUGUCCAAAGGAGGAGUCCAAAAUUUUAGAAAUGUGCUGUAAUAUAGAGAUUAUGAAAGUCACAAUAAUAUUAGCAAAUAUUGGAAUAUAAUACUUUAUAGUUCACAAUUCUCAUUUAUAUAAUUUCAUUUUAAUGUUUGUAGCAGUCUUUUGAGACAUUAUUUUUUCUAUUUUCCUUUUAAGAAAAUUGACACUCAGAUUUACCUAAUCAUGUAAUUUAUUUACAAACAGAUCCAGGAAACAAAAGAAGUUCUCCUGACUCUUCAAUCCAGUGUGAUUACUACCAUUGUUCUUUAAAAUUCACAGGGCUAUAAUAUCAAUAAAAAUUAGGAGUGAGCUAUAGAUUGCAGGGAGUGGGACUUCAGGAAGGGAAGGGGGUGAAAGCAAAAAAUACUAGAAAUAAAAUUUAGAUGAGAAAAGAAAAUAUGUUUUGUAAUGUUAUUAUUAUUUGGUAACGGUUCAUAAGAAAUGAAAAUUAUCUGGAAAGGUCAUUGGUCUAUGGUUUAAAAUGAGCCAAGGAAGGUAGCAAAUUUUUCAGCAACUGUGCUCUUACUCAAUAUUGAUAUACCUCCAAGACUUCAGCAAUUAGAAUGGCAGUUAGUAGUGUUUAGGUACUUUAAUAUUAUUGAAUAUAAUGACAAAUAAUCUACAUGGUUUAGUCAUUUGAAAUAGAUUCUUAUCUAUUGUGUGCCUUGGAGUUGGAAGUACAAGAGCCAGGACUGAUACUUUAAUCACUUGCUCUCUAUGCUACCAUGUUAAUGGGCCAUUAAAAAUUGGAAUGAUCAGUUGUUAGUGGCUUAGAAUUUUAUUUGCAUAUUUAGACACAGCCAUCAUGAAUGCCAAGUCAGUGAUUCUUAAGCUUUUAUAGGAGAUAGAAUACCUGGAAGUCAUAAAUGAUGAGAUGAUUGUUGUAGAACCUCAUAGCACUUCCACAUUUUUAGUUCUCCAUGAUAACUAGGACAUUUUAAAUUACAAUAAAUGUUCCCAUCUUACAUGAAAUAAUGCAACAUAAGCGUCAAAAUCAGUAUAUUUGUACAAGUUUUUCUUUUAGUAUCACUAACACUGAUUUAUUCAUUUAUCUAUUACUAGUAUCUUAUUAGAAAAGUGAGGCAGGUAUUCAAGAGUUUUUAGAAAAAGCAUAGAACCAAACUUAAUAAAAAUUAUUCCUUAGUCUUAAGAGCUAUAUUAGCAGUUAUCAGUUUAUACUGCUGUAAGGAGAAAACUUUGAGGCCAAUGACAUGUUAACUUUAAAAAUACAAAAAAGAAAAGCUCUUAUUUGAAACAUGAAUAAAUUUUAUGCCUUAACUUUCAUAAUUUAAAAAUUAAACACUUCAGACCUAAUAUUGUGUAUUUUGAAACUUUGUAAAGAAUGCCAAUACAAAUAUACCUGAAGUUAAUCCUUACUUAAUAUAUACUAACAUACUGAAAUAAAAAAGACUCAUUUAGUAUACAGAACUCAAGGAUGUUUCAAAUUCUUUAUUAAAAACUCCAUACAUUAUAGUUUAAAUGUUGAAGUUCUAAGAGAAAGAGGUUUUCUGUGAGCUUUUUUGUGUGUGCCUAUAUAUAUUUUUUUAAUUCUUCCUCAGGACCAAUAACCUCUAAUUUGGAGAGAAAAAAAUAUCUCAUGAAUUUGUAUUUAUAUACCAUUCAACUGCUUCCAAAUGGUCCUAUGGGUAUACCAUAUGAUUACUCUUCUUAUAGCUACAUUUUGUGAAAAACAUGAAGAAGAUUGAGAAACUCAAUAGCAUCUUUGAAUAUAACAAAUAACAAAUGAAGGAAGGGAAAAGAAAUAUUUCAAUUUUCAAGCUAUUUGCCCAAACUUUUGACUUAUCUUUAUUUUUAUUAAAAUAGGCACCUAAUGAGCUUUAUUACAAAAUAUACAUUUUGGGGUUAACUUUUACUUGUGGAAAAUAAGCUUCAUCCUAUCAAAAUACCACAUUAUUUUUCUACAGCAUAUAAGCUGUUAAGCCCAGCAUGAAUCUAAAAUAGUUUGUGCUCUUAUAAACAGGAUAAUGUCUAAAAAUCCCUUGAAUAAUCUUAAGGAGAAUGAUAUAUCUUGAAAAUCAACCCAAGUUUUCAUUGUUUACAGUGGAAAUGGUUUCCCCUUGAUAGUAAUUUGAUUUUUGUUUCAAAUAUAGUUCUGUCAGUAAAAGCAUAAAUGAACACGUGAGUUUUUGAAACAUUGGUUCCAAGUAUAAUUUCAUAUUUUGGCAAUAUGCUUAGCUUAUUACAAUAUUUGGAAUGAUUUUUUGAUUCUGUAAGCCUGAAAAAAUCUGUUACACAUUGGAAUCCAAAUCCAGAGAAUGUAGCAUACUUCUGAGAUGUGCAUAAAGUGAUAAGUUGUUAAAUUAUUUAGUAAAAGAGAUGCUUUAAAAUAAUUCUGAGAAAAAAAAUGAUUCUCAUUCGAAAGUAUAAAUUACUUUCAAAUUUAUCCAUGCUAUUUAUAGUUCUGGUGAUAGACAUCUGAAUAUGCUGAAUAUGUUUUGCAGUUGUAAAUCUAAUAUUUACCACAUGAAAGCUUUCUGGUGGAUAUAUCAAAUAUUUUUAUUAAAAAGAAAUCCCUUCUUCAUUGUUGGUAGCUUUCCUCAUUACAAAAUACAGAGGGGAUUUAUAGUUUUUAUUGUGAAAAUUUCAAAACGACUUGGCCACUUAUCAGCUAAAGUUGUGUUAAUGAAAGUGAAUGAGAAAAAAAUGUCCUAAUGGUAAAAAUCACUAUGUAGCUAAUCAAGAAUAUGGCUAUAUGUGAAUGCAUGGUAAUAAAGUCUCCAUCCAAUGUGUAGUUACUUAAGCUUACCAUUUCUUAAGAAUUCCCUAAUUAUCAUGACAAAGCCUUGAUUCAUCAAAGGCUUUACAAAUUAUUCCAGUGAUAUAAAAUGCCCUAUUUCUGCUUUCACUGACUGCUAUGAUAAUGUCUAAAUACACACCAGGUACAAGAUCAUAUGGUGCAAAACCUUGUGUAGUAUUAUGCAGAAGAGCCACCAAAUAGUUGAUUAAAUAUUAAUUUACUGUAUUCAUUCAAAACAUUUAUGAUGUUCUGACUUAUGAAUAAACAAAAUGUGGUACUUGUAACAAGAGUACAGUCCACUGAAAAUUAAAAAAUGAGAACCCUCAGAAAAACUCAAUAGCUACAAUUUUUAUUUACCAAGUAGGCACAAAGCAUUGCAUAUACACUAAGUAAAUCUUCGCAAAAAUUUUUUUUUUAAUUUUUUAUUGUUGGCUGUUCAAAACAUUACAUAGUUCUUGAUAUAUCAUAUUUCACAAUUUGAUUCAAGUGGGUUAUGAGCUCCCAUUUUUACCCCAUAUACAAAUUGCAGAAUCACAUCAGUUACACAUCCAUUGAUUUACAUAUUACCAUACUAGUGUCUGUUGUAUUCUGCUGCAAAAUUUUAAUGAAAGAGAAAAGUGAGGCCAGAACGGUUAAAUAAUUUAUCCAACUUCACAUAACAUCCAAGUUACAGAGUGAAAUUUGAACCUAACAACAUUUGAUUACAAAGUCUAUGUAACUUCACAGCGCCCCUUCUUAAUUAUUCUAGGCCAUUAUUCAUUAUUGCUAUUUUUAACUGAAAUUGUAAGUAUAAUUUUAACUGACUCAAGGUGUCUGGUUAGCAAACCAAUGCAUGUUUUUAUCUUAAAAGGAAAUUUACGUAGCACAACUUACAAUUGUUUUAUUACAAAUUAUGAGUGUUAUCCUAUGGAGCACGGAGGACAUAAGACAACUUUUCAAAUGUUUUGAGAAAGAAAUGUCUGAACUGAUUAUAAUUAAUUCACUCAGUUACACACACAUUCCAGUUACUAUACUUGGGAUUCAGAGAUGAGCAAGGCAUACCUGGUCUUAGAACUUGUGAAACAUGUUACUAGAUCUGGAUUAAAUAUUGUAAGCCUGUUGGAUGUUGUAGUUCCACAUAAAUGUCAUAUUUGUUUUGUGAUAUGUUUUUAGUUCUUGUAUGUCAUGCCUAAGACCAUUCUGUUGAAACCUUUAAGCAAUAAACAUUCUGACUGCAGGAUUUCCUUGAUUAUACACUGUGAGCUUCGUAACCCUCAUGCCCUCCAACUUGGUCUAAAUUAUAGGACCCAAUAAAACCAGUUUGUAGGACUGUGUUAUCCUUCCACCAGUAUGUGCGUGGUCCCAUGCAUUUAAAUGCUGUCUUGAAACUUGAGAAAUACCAUCUUCUUAAGUUCAAACCAUGUAAAAUGAAACAACUUUGUACUUUCAAAAAUAUGUGUCUUAUGUUAACACAAAAUGCAGAUGACCAUAGUAAGAAAGUUCUAAUAAAACUAAUAAAAAACUUUCAAAGUUAAGCAUAUUUUAAAGUUACAUUGUCUAUUUCACUACAUGUGACCCAAAAUAAAUUAAGUAUUCACCUUGUAUGUUUUA
rnacentral:lncRNA from 1 species